rnacentral:lncRNA from 1 species
AUUUGCUCAAGUAAAUUUUCAUGUCUUGCCUGAUCAUGGUGAGACAUUGCUGGACUCAAAGUUCCGUGAAAUUUCAUCUUCCUGUCCCACCAGAAUCUGUGCCAGGAGGUCUACUAUUGUAAUUUCUGUUGCUUCCAGACUUCUUAAGUGAGAUAAGCUAGUCUACAAAUGGCCUCUCCAUACUACUUCCUCUGCUAAGGUUCAGCUAGUAGAAGGGAUAUUAUGUGCAAGAUCCUUUUUCAAAGUAUUGACUACCAUCGAUCUACUUUUGGAUUACCCAGACUCCUAAUUUUGUAUGUACUAGAAAAGGCAUCUUUAGGAUUAAAUUUAAAUAAAACCUGUGUGUCACCUAUAUGGCGUAGAAUUCAGGAAAGCAAGUACCCUUGUUUGGUGAAAAGCACUUUGUGAGAAGAACAGCCACAGCAUCAGAAGUUGACCUUCACUCCACAGGAAGUAAUCUGCAGAGCAGGAAGCAGGUACCAGCAGGUUACUGGUAAAAUCAGUAACCUUACUGAUAUGGAACAUGCUACUGUUCUUGGUAGAUUCCCAUGUAUGCCUAGUAAAUAUUAAAAUAUUUUGGUUACCAUCGAUGUUUAUUUUUCUAUUCAUAUCAGCAGUUUUCAUCAUCAUAGCCAAAAGAUGGAAACAGCCCAAAUGUCAAUUGACAGAUGAAUACCUAAAGCACAUGUUGUAAUCCAGUGGGGUAUUAUUCAGUUUUAAACAAAUGGAAGGCUGAGGUAGAGAGAUGAUUCCUCGGCUAAACACAUCUUUUUCUCUUCUACAGGGUCUGAGUUUGACUCCUAGCACCCAAGUCAGGAAGCUCACAAUUGCCUGGAACUCUACCAGCUUCAAGGAGUCCAAUGCCCCUGGCUACCUGGGUCACUAACAUACACAUGGAGUAUACUCACACACACAAUCUUAAAAGUAAAAUAAAAAUUUAAAAACA